CAGGACUCGCCUACCCGCGCUAUGGACGAUUUACAUAAAGUUCUCCAGGUUCUGUGCAGAAAAGAAUCGGUCUGGUCUUCUGUAGGUGAGUUGGGGCUUGCACAUGCUUCUAUGGUUUUUCCUCUCCCUAAAUGAAAACCCAGCCUGUGGGCCUUUUAGAACUGAGUAAAUUUUCCCUCAGAGUUCUGCCACAGAGGUAGAAAGACAGGCACCAAGGACCAGCUCACUCAGACUAGUCUAAGCCAGUCUGGCAGGUGCUUUUCCCUGGCAAGUGGCCCAGGUCGAAGUCAAAGCCAGCUAAGCUCUGGGUGGGGCUUGCUUUGCAGAAACUAGCCUUAUAUGGUUGGGAGAGGCGGGACACAUAGCCUUAAAAGGAGUUUGCACCCUAGAGAAAAGAGUCUCAGAGGCACCAACGCAUUUGCUUCCCAAGCUUAGGCUGGAUCUGGAGGGCUGACCUCUGGUAGAUGGCUAUCAGCACUGUGUGAUGGUCCACAGGAACAGCAGGCACAGUGUGUAAGGUCUCAUCAAUUUGACUAGGCAGUACCACUGUAGCCAGCAAUUCGUUUUGGUGAGCAGCCAGGUCCUUAAAGUGUUAGGUUGAGGAGGUGGGGGUGGGGAAAGAGGAGGUGGGCAGGGACUGGACUGGACUCUGAGUCACUUGUCAGCUAUAAAUGGAUAUAAAGCUCUGUCUAUACCUGGAAGAUAAAUACUAGGAUAUCAAUGACCCAGAAAAGAAAAAACCAAAAAAAAAAA
rnacentral:lncRNA from 1 species